rnacentral:rRNA from 1 species
GCCCUUAGAGUUUGAUCCUGGCUCAGGACGAACGCUGGCGGUAUGCUUAACACAUGCAAGUCGAACGAGACGAGAUGGAAGGAUCCUUCGGGUGACGGAAAUCUUAGAAAGUGGCGAACGGGUGAGUAACGCGUGGGUAACCUGCCCUAUGGAAAGGAAUAGCCUCGGGAAACUGGGAGUAAUGCCUUAUAAUAUAGUGAAGUCGCAUGGCUUUGCUAUUAAACGCUCCGGUGCCAUAGGAUGGACCCGCGUCCCAUUAGCUAGUUGGUGAGAUAACAGCCCACCAAGGCGACGAUGGGUAACCGGUCUGAGAGGGCGAACGGUCACACUGGAACUGAGACACGGUCCAGACUCCUACGGGAGGCAGCAGUGGGGAAUAUUGCGCAAUGGGGGAAACCCUGACGCAGCAAUACCGCGUGAGUGAAGAAGGUUUUCGGAUCGUAAAGCUCUGUUAUUGGGGAAGAAAAAAGACGGUACCCAAGAAGAAAGNCCCGGCUAACUGACG